rnacentral:rRNA from 1 species
AUUGAACGCUGGCGGAAUGCUUUACACAUGCAAGUCGGGCGGCAGCGCGGGGGCAACCCUGGCGGCGAGCGGCGAACGGGUGAGUAACACAUCGGAACGUACCCUGUCGUGGGGGAUAACGAAUCGAAAGAUUCGCUAAUACCGCAUACGACCUGAGGGUGAAAGCGGGGGAUCGCAAGACCUCGCGCGAGAGGAGCGGCCGAUGGCGGAUUAGCUAGUUGGUGGGGUAAAGGCCCACCAAGGCGACGAUCCGUAGCGGGUCUGAGAGGACGGCCCGCCACACUGGGACUGAGACACGGCCCAGACUCCUACGGGAGGCAGCAGUGGGGAAUUUUGGACAAUGGGGGGCAACCCUGAUCCAGCCAUUCCGCGUGAGUGAAGAAGGCCU